CCUUCUCCCCCACACUCUCAAGACAUCCAAACCGUCCAAUCCGCCGCAUCUCAUCCGUCCAAUAUAUAUAUAUUUUUUCUUUUUUCUCUCUCCUCGUCCUUUGAGCGUGAUCAGAUAGAAAGAUUGGAUAUUUCUCUCCCAGCCCCAAGUCGCCUUUCCUCGGCCCAAACCCUCGCCCCUUCUCUUUUCUUCAGAGAAGAACCCCGAAGAGAGAGAGAGAGAGAGAGAGAUGGAUUCAGAUCAAGGGAAACUAUUCAUAGGGGGGAUUUCAUGGGAGACGUCGGAGGACAAUCUGAAGGAGUAUUUUGGGAAGUAUGGGGAGGUGUUGCAGACGGUUAUAAUGAAGGAUAAGGCGACUGGUAGGCCCAGGGGUUUUGGUUUCGUUGUAUUUUCAGAUCCCUCCGUUCUUGAUCAUGUUCUUCAGGACAAGCACACCAUUGAUGGAAGGACGGUGGAGGCUAAAAGGGCUUUGUCAAGAGAAGAACAGCACACCUCUCGAUCUGGAAACCCCAAUGCAGGGAGAAAUGUUCCAGGUGGUGGCAAUAUUAAGACCAAGAAGAUAUUCGUUGGAGGGCUACCUCCCACUUUAACAGAAGAAGGAUUCCGUCAAUAUUUUGAGAAUUACGGCCAUGUAACUGAUGUAGUAGUAAUGUAUGAUCAGACCACCCAACGUCCUCGUGGAUUCGGUUUUAUCUCCUUUGAUACUGAGGAUGCUGUAGAUAGAGUUCUACACAAGUCCUUCCAUGAGUUGAAUGGAAAACUUGUGGAAGUCAAACGUGCUCUUCCAAAAGAUGCAAAUCCUGGCAGUGGUGGCCGCUCUACUGGUAGUGGGGGCUAUCAGGGCUAUGGUGGUUCUGGUGUCAACACCAGCUCAUAUGAUGGUAAUGCUAAUAGGUACAUGCAGCCUCAGGCGUCUGGAGGUGGUUUUCCGGCAUAUGGUUCUUCCGCCUAUGGUACACCUGGCUAUGGAUAUGGUGCAGCAAGUAAUGGCGUUGGUUAUGGUGGUUAUGGCGUUGGUGGCUAUGGUAGUGCUAAUGCUGGGUAUGGAGGCCCUGCCGGGGCCUAUGGAAAUGCUCCUAAUCCGGGUUAUGUUAGUGGCCCACCUGGUGCCCCAAGAAGCCCAUGGAACAAUCAAGCUUCUUCUGGAUAUGGUUCUGCUGGCUAUGGUGCAAAUACAGGGUAUGGAGCUGCAGGUUGGAAUGGUCCUGGUUCAGCUGUUGCUGGUAGUGCUGGGACUGUUCCUGCACAAUCAGGCCAAUCUCCAGGUGGGGCCACGGGUUAUGGGAACCAGGGAUACGGCUAUGGUGGUUAUGGUGGGAACGAGGGGUAUGCUAAUCCUAGCAGCUAUGGUGCUGUAGGGGGGCGUGCUUCAAGCACCCCAAAUGCUAAUGCUGGUGGUGGUGGGGGAGACCAACAGGGGGCAGGUACUGGUUACAUGGGCAGUGGCUAUGGUGAUGCCAAUGGGAAUUCUGGCUAUAUGAACGCAGGAUGGAGGGGUGAUGGCUAUGGUGCCGCCCAGGCAAAUGGUGGUUAUGGUGGUGGCUACGGAGGUGCUCAGUCCAGGCAGGCUCAACAGUAGUGAAAUGCAGCUGCUUGCGACGUCAACUGGGUAUUUCUUAUUUUGAGGAAUCUUCCUUUUCUUACUCCCGAAAUCUGGUUCGGAUCGUUGUCUCGCUCGUGGAGGGAUAGCUUGUGCAGAUGAAAGCGGAUUUUGGGACUGGUUGGAUUGCUUGAAUCCCAGUAGUUAGCAGUGGAGAUGCCGCUUUCUAGAUUGGAAUCAGAUGUAUACCCGCGCCAAUUUUGAAGUUUUUAAAUGGGGGCGGGCAUGAAAAACUGUUGGAGGGAUCUGAUUCAUUCGAUUGCUAACCGAGGCCAUGGGGGGGAAUGCUGCUGAACUCAAGAUACUCUGAGCCCAGUUCAUGUUCUUUUGGUUGGUAUGGUUGCUUGUGUUCCACCUGCAUGGUAUGUCAGACAGUUGUAUGCAGGAGUUAUUUUGUCAUCUGUUCAUUAGCAAUUGACUAUCCGGGAAAAAAAAAUGUCAUCUGUUCAUUUGGAGAUUUAUCUGUUGCUUUUUUAUUAAGCCUGCAAAAACAAACUAUAUCCUGAGACGUGUUCAUUAGAAAAUUUUAGAAGUAAUCCUGUUGGCGCAUAACUGAAUAGAUAUGCUUUUUAGGUUCUUUUAAUUACAUAAUUGUAGUUUGAGUUUUGAUGA